GAUGAAGAACGUAGCGAAAUGCGAUACUUGGUGUGAAUUGCAGAAUCCCGUGAACCAUCGAGUCUUUGAACGCAAGUUGCGCCCGAAGCCAUUAGGCCGAGGGCACGCCUGCCUGGGCGUCACACGUCGUUGCCCCCCCAUCUACUCCUUCGGGAUUGCGGGGGGCGGAUGAUGGCCUCCCGUGCGCCUCGCCGCGCGGUUGGCAUAAAUGCCAAGUCCUCGGCGACGCACGCCACGACAAUCGGUGGUUGCGAAACCUCGGUUGCCCGUCGUGUGCGGUCGUCGCGCAUCGAGGGCUCGAAAAAAUUGCCGGGUUCCGGCUCGGCUUUCAACGCGACCCCAGGUCAGGCGGGGUUACACGCUGAAUUUAAGCAUAUCAAUAAGCGGAGGA
rnacentral:misc_RNA from 1 species